rnacentral:rRNA from 1 species
UACGUAGGGGGCAAGCGUUGUCCGGAUUUAUUGGGCGUAAAGAGCGUGUAGGCGGCCAAGUAGGUCCGUUGUGAAAACUCGAGGCUCAACCUCGAGACGCCGAUGGAAACCAUUUGGCUAGAGUCCGGAAGAGGAGAGUGGAAUUCCUGGUGUAGCGGUGAAAUGCGCAGAUAUCAGGAGGAACACCGGUGGCGAAGGCGGUGGUCUGGGCCGGAACUGACGCUGAGGAGCGAAAGCGUGGGGAGCGAACAGG